GUUCCCGCUGCGGUCCGACCCCUCGCGGCGCCCAGGCUUCUGUCGGGUCCGCUCCGGCCUGGCCUUUGGGGUUGUCAUAGCGGCGGCUCCUCCGGCAGGGCGCGGCGCCAGUGACUGCGGCCAGGAGGCCGUGACAGAAUUGGAACACCACUUGCUGUAACUCAAAGUCAUGGAGACAACUACUCACUGUAUGCUGGUUAGAAAGGGUGCUGUGGCAUUUGCAAGAAAGCAGGACUUCACAAUAGAAGAUCAUAAAAACCUGAUGACUAAGCAGAGUGCUGAAGCUUAUCAGUUACACUAAUUCUGGUUGGAUGAUGCUGGAAGGAGCUUAACUACACAAAACCUUUCUGUGGAAAUUGCAAUGUUCUUUUGUAGAUCCAGCCCUAUGAUUCUAGAGAUAGAGACUUUGACAUCUAAAGAAAUAUAUAUUUUUAUGUGGAGGGGGGAACAUCUUUAACAUUUCUUUGUGGGGUGGUGUAACAGGGUGCUGGACACGAACUGCUGAGUCCAGCCCAGUCCUCUGUCAGGCCAGCUCCCAUUAAGGGAGAGAAAUUGGAGCUGGCUAGGGAAACUUGUGCCUGAUUGGCAAAGGGGAAAUAGCUGCCAGGUGGUUAACCUGGGGCUGCAUAAAAGCCUCAAAGGAAGGAAAGGGGGAAGCCAGAGAGUGGAAGCUUGUCUUUCAUAGCUGUAGAGGCUGGGAAGUCCUUCAGAUGGAAACCCCCCAUGUUGUAUAUGGUGAGACGGUGGUGGGAUUUUAUGCUGUAAAUAAACUGCACCAGUGAUUGCAGAGCCAGAAGGUCUCUUAGUGGUUUUUGGAGUAGAGGCAGGAGCAAAGGGGGUCCUGCUAUGCCCUGUUACAGGUGGGGAAAACUUUCUUUUCUAGCCCUCAGGCACUCUGGAGUGGACUCUCCACUGCCUUGCACACUGUGUAGUUAUUUAGACCUAUGCAAAGUGGGUGGGAAAUGCUACGAAAUUAGAUUUCUCCAUUCACUUUUGCCAUUGGUAGCAUUUUACACUCUCCUUUUACAGGGGUAAACUACAUGAGUUCUCAGGAGUGGAGAAUGAAGCAUCCUAAGGUCUGAUUUGAAGGGGGAUUGAGCACCCAUAACGCCAGCUGAAGUCAGUGGGACAUCUGGGUAUUCAUAACCUCUGAAAAUGAGGUCCUAGAUGUCUAAAGUUUGGCAAUGAAAAAUUGAGGUACCCAAAAUAAGAUACCACUUUUGAAAAUGUAGUCCUAAGUGACUACAGUCAUAGGGGAAGUCUGCAGCAGAGCCAGGAAUAGAAUCUGAAUCAUCUGACUCCCAGUCCUGUGGCUUAUCCAUAAGACCAACCUUCAUCUCCAGAUAACAGCAGCAGAUUCUUUCAGAUAUGAAUGGAGGUUUCAAAUUCAUCCACACCAUAUAAAGAACAACACUUUAACAUGAUUCACUGAUAAUUGAGUCCUCGUAUCAGAACUACAUUCUCUCCUCAAAUUAAAAAAAGGGGUUUUGGUUUUUGAAAUCAAUUUACACUUUGCUACUGUGAAGUCCACUGAGAGGAGUAAACAUUGCAUUUAACAUCUCCAUUCCUUCUGCUACCCUGCUUCACUUUUCAGCAUGUAAGAAUGACUUUAAAAUUAGUUUUUUUGUAAACACUUUACCUCACUAAAAAUAUAACUGAAAUACUCUGAUUCAGGAGAAAACACAUUGUUAUAAGAUCUCUGAUUUUGAGAAUAUCCCUUAUUUUCUUCAAAAAAAAAUUUGCUGGAACAUUUAGAAAAAAUUUCAGAGGACACAGUACCUUAAAUAGUAAUUUUAAUGAUUUGAUUAUUUUGUAUGAAAAAUGUGGUAAGUACUGGAGUUAGAGGUCAUUAAGAAUCGAACUGGCUUGCAUACAUACAUAAAUGGAUGUGAUGUUAGAGGAUAAAAAUUUCUAUCAGCAGCAGCAAGGAUAUUGUGGUGAAGUGAUAAUUGUAUGCUGACUAGCAUCCCAAAACACUUCACAGAGAGAAGUGAUACAAGAGCUGGCAUAAAUUUUAGUGAAGACAAUCAAGGAAAAAUUCUGCCAUUGUAAGUGCAGAGGGCUCCUGACAGUAGAAUUGGUAUGGUUCUACUGGUUGAGGACAUGCUGCAUGUACCACAUGGAGUCCACACCAUGCACAGAGAAGGGUUGGGUAUGGUGGAACAAUUGGAAGGUUUUAAGGCUGAGAUAUGUUAUGUAUUUGUGUACAUGGGAGAAGACAGACAUGUGCAUAUUGGAGUCUGGAAAGUGGGAGUGACAAGAAUCAGAACAAGAGAAGAUGAAGAUAUGGACAGGGAUUUCAGAACAGGUUGAUUCAAGAAAGUAGAGCUGAUAGGCUGUGUGGAGGAGUUUGGGAAGGAUAGAAUCCUGUCUCCUCCCUCAACCUGGGAGCAGGUUGCAGAAGGGUUAUAAGCACCUACACAUGAGUUUUUGCUGGUGGAUCCCUCUAUAUGUGGGGUCUGCCUCCUUUUUGAGGGGCUACACGGCAGGCUGUCCUGCAGGUCCCUAAUUUCUUUGCACAGUAGAACUCUUCUGGUUCUGUUGUCUUUGGGAGGCUUCAUGUGACCUUUCCAAGCCUGGGCAGGCUGUGCCCCUUGUAACUAAAAUGAGAGCUGUUAUAUAAUGAAACAUGAAAUCUUAUCAAUCAUAGUUCAUCUUUUGUUGACGAUUAAACUAUCUUUUCCAGAAAACUACAGUAGAAUUUAUUUAUUUAUUUUGUUCAGACUGCCAAGGCACAACAGAAAUAAUGCAUUCACUCUUCAAGAGAGAAUUAGCGUAUGCUGCUCUUGGAGUUCCCCCUACUGACCUUUGGAUGAUACUAUGACUCAGUAAAGCCGAAAGCAUACCAAAGUUGAGAGUUAUAAGAGGGAAAUGGUGGCCCAGAAAAAAGGGAUGUGUCACUUACUUGAAGUAACGAGAGCCUCUUGGCAUAUGUUCUUAUCUUGGAAAGAGUGCUAAACAAUUCCAGGAACCUCACAUUACAAGCUGAUAUAGAUAUGUGUUUGUAUUUCCAAGGAAAUAUAAGACGACAAAAAUUUUACAGGGAAUCUUGUUUAAGGAGAAUUACUGUCUAUAGACACACGUUAGACCUUUCAUAGGCUGCAUAUUGUAUGCCACAAAUUAAACACCAGCAUUUUGAUGACACUUGAAGUGCUUAAAAACAGAUUCCUGAACAUGUUGUGCUUGCUAUUGACAUGGAAUAUAGGAACCACUUAUUUUAAGAGAUUGUUGGUUUGAGUUUGGAGUAACAUACGCCAAAAAUAAAAUGAAUUGGUACCAGUUGUAGUAGUUUCAAACAGAGCUUACAUGUGUUUAAACAUAAGUAUUACCUAGAAGGCAAAAUGAGCAUGGAAGUUAUGCGUAUAUCUUGAAGGGAAAGCAUUCUUUCCACCCACCCCUUUUCUAUCCGCUAACAGUUAUGCCAGGUAUAAAGUAACAAUUUUUUUAUUUAAAAAUUAUAAAUGUCUAUAUUAGUAUGAAAAUUCAGACACUUUGCAUGUUUGAAUUUGAUUUGAAUUAAUGUGUAAUGUCUUUGCCAGCUAGCAGAUGUAUCCCUCUAAACACACUUUUCUCUAAUAUUUAGAAUAUUCACUUUUUAGGUGGUUAAUGAUUCACUUAUUCAUAAAUGUUUUAAAUACAAAAUUCUGUUAAGCAGAAAUUCCAGCAAUUACUUUCUGCCCAUUAGGGUAACAACUGAUUAAUAAUGUCUGUUCUAGCAGGCCUUUCUCAGGCAAAUCUCCUCUUGAAAUUGGGAACCAUUAGGUAUUACCAUAUUGAAUCAGACUCCUCAUCCACCUAGUCCAGUGGGAGUUUUGUUUAAGCAUUUGUCUACAUGCAGUUUUUACACUGGAUUUAAUUAUAUUAAAACUCAAUGUAAUUAAAUUGGUGCAGUCCUCUAGGGUGAACACAGUUAUACCAGCAUAGCUUAUUUCUGACCAGUACUGUAAAAACAAAUACACACAGUGUGUGUGUAGGCCAACCCUAAGUAAGGACUGUAGGAUUUUGUCCAAAAGUUUUAACCAAGACCGAAUUGUCUCUUGAAUCUUGCCUAGCUCUAGUAAAUAUUGUCAUAAAAAUAAAGGGAAGGGUUACCACCUUUCUGUAUACAGUGCUAUAAAAUCCCUCCUGAUCAGAGGU